AGGACGAACGCUGGCGGCGUGCUUAACACAUGCAAGUCGAACGGAAAGGCCCAGCUUGCUGGGUGCUCGAGUGGCGAACGGGUGAGUAACACGUGGGUGAUCUGCCCCUAACUUCGGGAUAAGCGUGGGAAACUGGGUCUAAUACCGGAUAGGACAAUCGUUUAGUGUCGGUUGUGGAAAGUUUUUUCGGUUAGGGAUGAGCCCGCGGCCUAUCAGCUUGUUGGUGGGGUAAUGGCCUACCAAGGCGUCGACGGGUAGCCGGCCUGAGAGGGUGGACGGCCACGAUUGGGACUGAGAUACGGCCCAGACUCCUACGGGAGGCAGCAGUGGGGAAUAUUGCACAAUGGGCGCAAGCCUGAUGCAGCGACGCCGCGUGGGGGAUGACGGCUUCGGUGUAAACUCUUUCGACAGGGACGAAGCUUUGGUGACGGUACCUGUAUAAGAAGCGACCGCUAACUACGUGCCAGCGAGCCGC
rnacentral:rRNA from 1 species